GCAAUCUACCUUUUACAGGGGGAUAGCCCAGAGAAAUUUGGAUUAAUACCCCAUAGCAUUAUGGAAUGGCAUCAUUCUAUAAUUAAAGUCACAACGGUAAAAGAUGAGCAUGCGUCCCAUUAGCUUGUUGGUAAGGUAACGGCUUACCAAGGCAACGAUGGGUAGGGGUCCUGAGAGGGAGAUCC
rnacentral:rRNA from 1 species